rnacentral:rRNA from 1 species
UCGGGAAUUUUGGGCAAUGGGCGAAAGCCUGACCCAGCAACGCCGCGUGAGGGAUGAAGGCCUUCGGGUCGUAAACCUCUGUCGGGAGGGACGAAAGGUAAACGGGUGAACAAUCCGGGUGCUUGACGGUACCUCCAAAGGAAGCGCCGGCUAACUCCGUGCCAGCAGCCGCGGUAAUACGGAGGGCGCAAGCGUUGUUCGGAAUCACUGGGCGUAAAGCGCGUGCAGGCGGCUUGGUAAGUCGGGUGUGAAAUCCCGGAGCUCAACUCCGGAACUGCACCCGAUACUGCCUCGCUAGAGUCCCGGAGAGGAUGGCGGAAUUUCCGGUGUAGAGGUGAAAUUCGUAGAUAUCGGAAGGAACACCAGCGGCGAAGGCGGCCAUCUGGACGGUGACUGACGCUCAGACGCGAAAGCGUGGGGAGCAAA